GCUUGUCUCAAAGAUUAAGCCAUGCAUGUCUAAGUAUAAAUAAAUCAUACUGUGAAACUGCGAAUGGCUCAUUAUAUCAGUUAUAGUUUAUUUGAUAGUCCCUUACUACUUGGAUAACCGUAGUAACUCUAGAGCUAAUACAUGCGCAAAUUCCCGACUGCCGCAAGGCGGAAAGGAUGUAUUUAUUAGAUCCAACCAGCCCGGUUCGCCGGAGUCCCUGGUGAGUCAUAAUAACUGAGCGAAUCGCAUGGCCUUGCGCCGGCGAUGUUUCAUUCAAAUUUCUGCCCUAUCAAUUUGAUGGUAGGAUAGAGGCCUACCAUGGUGGUAACGGGUGACGGAGAAUUAGGGUUCGAUUCCGGAGAGGGAGCCUGAGAAACGGCUACCACAUCCAAGGAAGGCAGCAGG
rnacentral:rRNA from 1 species